rnacentral:rRNA from 1 species
AUGGCGGCUCUGCAUCGACUACUGAUACACCUUAAUGCCCUCACCUACAUCGCCAAGUACCCAGUGCCAAUCAUCGAGGAGUUGCUGGAUGAGUUACAUGGUGCAACCUAUUUCUGUAAGCUGGACCUCCGCUCUAGCUACCAUCAGAUUCGCUUGGCAGAGGGUGAAGAAUACAAGACAACUUUGCAGAUGCACUCAGGACACUAUGAGUUCCUUGUGGUCUCGUUCGGCUUAGCAGGUGGACUAGCCAUGUUCAACUGUGCCCUGACGACCACCCUCAAGCCAGUCAACCGCAAGUGUGUGCUCCUCAUCUUCGAUGACAUCCUAGUGUUCAGCAAGGCGCUGCCAGACCACAUCAAACACCUCUGCCAAGUUCUGCAGCUGUUGAGCUGCGACCAAUGGCGCGUGAAAAUGUCCAAAUGUGAGUUCGGCCAGCACAGCCUCUCUUACCUGGGUCAUGUCAUUAGCAGCAAGGGAGUAGCCACAAAACCAACCAAGAUACGCGCCGUGGCCAACUGGUCGACCCCAACUGAUCUCAAGACCGUACGUAGCUUCUUGGGGCUCGCCGGGUACUACAUGAGAUUCGUCAGAAAUUUUGGCGUCCUAGCUCGCCCCCUGUUCAACCUUCUGAAGAAAGGGGCGCCGUUCGUCUGGACGCCUGCAACUGAUAUGGCAUUCCAACUUCUCAAGCAACAUCUCAUUGAAGCUCCAGUUCUCGAUCUGCCCAACUUCUCCAGGCCGUUUGUGAUCGAGACCGAUGCAUGUGACAAGGGGAUCGGCGUGAUACUUCAGCAAGAUGGCCACCCGAUUGCGUACAUGAGCAAGGCAUUGAGCCCCCGCUACCAAGGCCUAUCAACCUAUGAGAAGGAGUACUUGGUAGUCAUCGUGGCUGUGGAUCAAUGGCGGCCUUACCUCCAACAUGCAGAGUUCACAAUCCUCACAGACCAGUGCAGCUUGACACAUCUGACAGAACAGAGGCUUUCAACACCAUGGCAGCAGCGGGCUUUCACUAAACUGCUGGGACUCUGA